UACGUAGGGACCGAGCGUUGUCCGGAAUCAUUGGGCGUAAAGAGCGUGUAGGCGGCUUGCUAAGUCUUGCGUGAAAUCUCGGGGCUCAACCCCGAGCGGUCGUGGGAAACUGGCAGGCUAGAGUGCGGGAGAGGAGAGUGGAAUUCCUGGUGUAGCGGUGAAAUGCGCAGAUAUCAGGAGGAACACCGAUGGCGAAGGCAGGUCUCUGGGCCACUACUGACGCUGAGAAGCGAAAGCAUGGGGAGCGAACAGG
rnacentral:rRNA from 1 species